UCACGAAAGUCUGAUGGAGCAAUACCAUGUGAAAGAUGAAGGUCUUUUUGAUUGUAAAGUUCUUUUAUGAGGGAUAACAACUGAUAGUACCUCAUGAAUAAGUGACAGCAAACUAUGUGCCAGCAGCUGCGGUAAUACAUAGGUCGCAAGCAUUAUUCGGAUUUAUUGGGCGUAAAGCAAGCGCAGGCGGAUGUGUAAGUUCUGUGUUAAAAGUAGCUACUUAAUAGUUGUUUGCACCGAAUACUACAUGUCUAGAAUGUGGUAGGAAGUUUUGGAAUUAAACAUGGAGCGGUGGAAUGUGUAGAUAUGUUUAAAAACACCGGAGGCGAAGGCGAAAACUUAGGCCAUAAUUGACGCUUAGGCUUGAAAGUGUGGGGAGCAAAUGGGAUUAAAUACCCCAAUAGACCACACCGGAAACGAGGGGUAUAAAGGAGUGCGGUUUGAGCCUCAUUGCUGUAGAUGCAGU
rnacentral:rRNA from 1 species